AUUGAACGCUGGCGGAAUGCUUUACACAUGCAAGUCGAACGGCAGCACGGACUUCGGUCUGGUGGCGAGUGGCGAACGGGUGAGUAAUAUAUCAGAACGUGCCCAGUCGUGGGGGAUAACGUAGCGAAAGCUACGCUAAUACCGCAUACGAUCUACGGAUGAAAGCGGGGGAUCGCAAAACCUCGCGCGAUUGGAGCGGCCGAUAUCAGAUUAGGUAUGUUGGUGAGGUAAAGGCUCACCAAGCCGACGAUCUGUAGCUGGUCUGAGAGGACGACCAGCAACACUGGGACUGGGACACGGCCCAGACUCCUACGGGAGGCAGCAGUGGGGAAUUUUGGACAAUGGACGCAAGUCUGAUCCAGCCAUUCCGCGUGCAGGACGAAGGCCUUCGGGUUGUAAACUGCUUUUGUACAGAACGAAAAGGUCUCUAUUAAUACUAGGGGCUCAUGACGGUACUGUAAGAAUAAGCACCGGCUAACUACGUGCCAGCAGCCGCCGUAA
rnacentral:rRNA from 1 species